CUCUCCCCUCCUCCGCAUCUCUGCGAGGAACGGCGCUUACGGGCUUACGUUCUACGUGCGCGCCCCGCAGGUCGCCUUCAAUACGCUCACCGCUCUCACUACGCAGCUAGAGCUGGAGCGCGCCUGAGAAGAGGUUUCUGUUUUUGUUUUUAGUUAUCUCUACCCAAUGUGAGACGCAAACUCAAAACCCCGAGACGGAUAGUCACACUCUCUACCGACUGAGCCAGCCAGCCAGAGAGAGAGAGAAUGCACACAAGCAGGGAGAGGGUCAGAGGAAGAGGGAGAAGCGGACUCCCCAUUGAGCAGGGAGCCCAAUACGGGACUCGAUCCCUGGACCCCGGGAUCAUGACCUGAGCCGAAGACAGACGCUUAACCACUGAGCCACCCAGGCGCCCCUUUUAUUUACUUUUCUUAUUUACUUUUUUAAAUGUGGCUAUCCUACACAAAUUUUAAUUAUAAAUAUAACUCUCAGUUUUCUAUUGGACAGGGCUGUUCUAUAUCUUGACUGCCAUGCUGGUUGCAUGACUACAUAGGUUUGUCAAAACUCAGAGAGCUCGUGUAAAGGGAGAAAUCUGCUGUCUGUAAAUUAGGCCCCAGUAAACAUAACUGUUAAAGGGCGCCUGGCUGUCCAUCAGUAGAGCAUGCGACUCGUGAUCUUGGGGCCAUGAGUUCUAGUCCCACACUGGGGACAGAAAUUACGAAAAUAAAAAUAAUAAUAAAUAAAUCUUUUAAAAAUGUUUUAAAGAAAAUAAAAAUCUUGUUUGAUAAUGCUUUUGAACAAUGUCUGUCUCUUAAAGUUCUGAACUUCCCAUUCACAGUCUUAUAAAAUAGCCUGGUAACAAAUUCGGUGCCUGGCAAGAAGAAAGGAUUUUCCUUGAUCUUUAGCCAAAAAGUUUUCUUUAAACUGUCAGAAAGUUCUGACUAGAAAGAGAAUGUAAAGUGUUGGCCAGAGAAUGAUUGAUUCAGGAAAGAAACCAGAGAAGGAAAGAUUGCAUAGGAAGAAGGAUCAAUGGAGGCCCCAGUGAAGUAGAAAAAAGUGCUGUGGAAAUGGCUGGCAGGACAAACGGGACAGAGAGGAGGCUGAGAGGUCACAAUGGGAGGUAUUUGAGCUAAGGAUUUUGGAAAUGAUGAUAUAUUCCAUUCUGUGACUGGAAAAAGGAGGCUCUGGUGAAGAGAAGAGAAGGUACUCAGUUAAGAUCAAGGAACUUAGCACUAUACGGUAACUAACUAGAAUUUAUUUAUUUGUUUGUUUGUUUGUAUCACUUUUAGAGAGAAAGAGAGAGCAGGCGGAAGGGGAAGAGGGAGAGGGAGAGAGAAAC